CCCCUGGAAACAACUAGGGUUUACUAAAAUUAUUUUCAAUGAACCUGAAAUGCCCUUCUAAAAAGUUCACCCUCUUUGUCUUGGGUUAGAACCUCUGGCAAAAUUGGUGCACAUUUUUCUAGGUCAACAGAAGGUCACUGAAUUAAAUCAUAUGUAAUUUGCUUUUGGACAUUUAAAUGCUAGUAAAUAUUUUAAAUGUUCAAAUAAUUCUGGAUUUAAGUGAGGGCUGUUAGGAAUAAUCCCAACAGAGCCCACAAUUAUUUUCAGGAUUUUAGUAAGUGCCUAAGUAUUUUUAAUAAAGCCCUAAAGCUAUAGAAAAAUAGAAAAAGAAAACAAAACAGGAAAGGGAGAAAGGGAAAGGCUUACCUGGCGCCACCCACCAGGCCCACCUGCCCGCCCAGCCCAGCUACUGCUCCAGCGAGCUGCUUGGCUCGGCCAGGCAGGCAGGCAGGUGCUCGACGGCGAGCACAGCAUGCAUGCCACGCAGCUGCCCGCCGCCUCGCCGUUCCCCUCGUCGAGCUGUCGACGUGGGACGAACCCUCUCACUCUCCCCGACCUCGCAGACACCCGCACUCCCCUCUGACCCCUCUCUCUCGCCCUCCCCGACGUCGCCCGAGACGUCACCAUCGCCGCCGCCGCCGCAGCCGCGUCCAACACCGUCCCCGCGCCCUUUCACCGUGUCUGGAUGGUUCGUUGUCGUCGACUACGCCGGCUAGGCAAGCCACACGACGCCGGAGCCCCUGCAUCAUCCCCGCCGCCGUCGUCUUCAACCUCGGGCCGCCCAGGUCACCGUCGCCGUUCCGACCACACCGAGCCUUCCCCGAGCACGCUGACCCUCCCUGCGGCUUCUCUGUGAGCUGCUGAACCUCCCCGUGCUUUCUGUUUCGCCCCUAGAACACCAUAGACGCCGCAUCCAUUGUGCCCGAACGCGCCGCCGCCUGACCACGUCGCCGGCGUUACUCCGGUGACCAUUUGGUCACGGGCUUGUGUCCGUCACACUCCUCGCGCCGCGUAGAGGCCGUAGGUGCUAGCGCCACACCGCCUAGGCCACUGCAGCCAUGCGCACAAGCUGGCCCGAGCUUCGGCCUCCGCCUGACCUCGUCGCCGGUGAUGCUCCGACCACUCCCCGGCCAAGCCAUCACCACGGCUGGAUGCGGGCGAGCACCAGCUGCCCGUAGCUGCUCUCCGUGUAGCAAAUGGAGCCCUGUGGGCAAAUCCCGCAGCACGCCACCGCGUUUGGCCUCGCCAGCGGCUAAACGCCGGCAGGCUUUGACCCGUUGACCGGUGGGUUUGACCGCUGACGUGGACUGGGUGGGCCCAGGUUGACUCCCCUGAGUCAAUGACAAGUGGGCCCCCCUCUGCUAACUAAAUCAAAUUAGUUUUAGCUAAAAAUAAUUAGUUUAAUUAACUACUGACACGCAGGACCCACUGGUCAGGUUGACCUGGACGUCCCCGUUGACCACUGACAUCACCCUGACGUAAUGCUGACGCAGUAAUUAAAUUACUGGAAUUAUUCUUAUACAGGAAAUUCCGGAAAAUGCUUAAAACUUCUAAAAAUCAUAGAAAAUCAACCAUAGCUCCAAAUGCAAUGAUUUAUAUAUGAAAAAUGAUCAGAAAAAUUCAAUCUAUCCAUCUGUAAUGGUUUCAUGCAUGACAAAACAAGUUUACCUUGCUGUUUAAGCAGAAUAAGGAAAUGCACUAUUAAGGCCAUGUUUAAUGAGCUAAUAUUUGAAUCUUUGAUUCAAAUGAGUUCAUUCCUUUCUGUUAUAGCUUGCAUUAGGCCAAGACACAUUCAUAUUGCCAUGUCACAGCAUGCAUCAUAUUGUUGCAUAUCGUCAUGUGUUGAUUGUGUUCCGAUGUGUUCUUCGUGGUAGGUUCUGCCUCCGAGGAUAUUCACGAGUAUCCAACUGAAGGGCACUAUCCCACUACCACUCCAUUAGGCAAGCAACCAUUGAUCAUUCCGAUACAACCCAUGUUCUCACUUCUGCUCUUGUUUACUGCAUUAAGACAUCGCGAUUCAAACUGCUGUGUGCUACGGUAGUUGAACCCUUAUCCUCUGCAUGACCUGUCAUUGCCACAGUAACUAGAUGAAACCCACUAGCAUGUGUAGGAGUUGAUUGAGCCAUGUAUGUGAUUCCUACCUUGCUAUGCCUGCUAUGCUUAGAGUUGUGUCAGGUCUGGUUCAUCUGGGUGAUGGGCUAGAGUGAUAUGGUUAUGUCGGUAAUAUGUGGGAUGUGUUGAACAUGUUUUGGUAAAGGUAUCGAUGAGAGGCCAUGUAGGAGUACAUGGUGGGUUGUUUCAUUGAGACCGUCCAUAAGAACUGAGAUCUGUAUGUGUCAUUUAAGAUGCAGUUACUACCGUACAUUGGGCCCGAAACCAAUGGACCCUCUCGGCUUCUUAAUCACCCUAGUACUCUAUCCAGGGGUUGCAAAUAGUUUCUGGUGUUUGUAGGUUAUGUCUUGGCGGCCGUGCGUAGCGCUGACCCUAGGGGUGGGCUAUGUUGCGGUAGAUACACGGUGGCCGGGUAUGCCGGGCGCCCAUUUGGCGUCUCGGGACCCUGUUCACAUCGUUCGGGGUCGUAUGUGGAAACCUCGGCCGGACUCCUUGCUGAUGGAACCUGGAUAGGCGAUAAACCUGGACUAGAGACUUAAGUGUUUAGGUAGGCCGUGGCCGACACCCUCGCUGGGCUUCCCCUUGAAGGUUGCCGAGUACAUGUCGUGUAAACGGCGGUAAGUGGUGAAAUCGUGUAUGAAGAAGUACACCCAUACAGGGUAUAAAACUAUUCGAAUAGCCGCGUCCGCGGUAAAGGACUACUUGGUUGCCUAUACAGUUCAUAGACAAGUUAAUGGAUACUACUAAAAGACUCAAGAUAAGUGUGAGUACCGAGGAUGGCCCUCUCGUAGGAUGACGAGGGAGGAUCCCCGGUGGUGUAUUGUGUUGGUGAGUAGUGGACUCAUGUGCGAAAACUAUUUUACUAGUGAAGUUCCAUAGGAUAGCUUAGCCAAGAGUCAAAGCUGGCUUGCUGCAAUAGCCCCACCACCUUCUUGAGAAUGAGCAUGUAUAGUAGGUUCUGAUGUAAGACUUGCUGAGUACCUUUGUACUCAUGUUUGCUUAAUUACUGUUUUCAGACGACAACACCGCCCCCUCCGAUGGGUUCUACGUAGACCUUGACGUCGACGAGUGACUAUCCACCCAGGUGGUGAUCCUGGCCAUGGAGGGCCCUAUGUAGAUAGACAGGCUUCGAGAAGCCUUCUUUCUUUUUAGUGUCUGUACUCAGACCGGUUGCUUCCGCAUGUGCUUGUAUGACUGUAUGACUUGAGUGUCGGGUCAUGUGACCCCUAUCUAUAUGAACAUGUUAUGUAUGGCUCUCUGGAGCCUUUAAAUAAAGUACUUGAGUUGUAGAGUUUUGUUGUGAUGCCAUGUUGUAUGUACUCAUAUCGGGCAUAUUGUGUGUAUGAUUGAAAUGCUUGGUAUGAGUGGGAUCCGACAAUCUAGUUGUUUAUCCUUGGCAGCCUUUCUUAUGGGGAAAUGUAGUCUAGUGUUCCUCGAGCCAUAGUAGUCCGCUACAGCCUGGUUCACCUGAGUCCUGCUAGCCCAGCACUACUGUUCAGGACACUUGACUGGCCGGCAUGUGUUUCACUUCGUUCCUAUGUCUGUCCCUUCGGGGAAAUGUCACGCGGUGACUUCCGGAGUCCUGUUAGCCCAGUGCUACAGCCCGGAAUCACUCGCUGAUGACCGACAUGCUCAAUGUGAUUCAUGUAUGCCUGUCUCCAUAGGUCUGUGCCGCUUUGGGUUCACGACUAGCCAUGUCGGCCCGGGUUCUCUAUCAUAUGGAUGCUAGCGACACUAUCAUAUACGUGAGCCAAAAGGCGCAAACGGUCCCGGGCCAUGGUAAGGCGACACCCGUGGAAUACCGUGCGUGAGGCCACAAAAUGAUAUGAGGUGUUACCGGCUAGAUUGAUGUGGCUUGGAAUCAGGGUCCUGACAGCGUUGGCAUCAGAGCCGGACUGCCUGUAGGUUCGUUGAGCCAAACUGGUCGAUGUCGAGUCUAGUAAUGCUUUAGUUAUAUGCAGGGGAAUUGAUUGUGGGAGGGAACGUAAGGCUCUUUUACUCCUUUACCCUAUGCCUCUGAUCUGAGUCAUUUUCUUCUCAUUCAACGUGUGUUAAGGACUAGGCUCUCUUCUUCUAUCAGGUUCACGUGUUACUAAUCCGUAGUAGCUUAUAGGAUUGUUGUUACAAGUCCCAGUUCAGUUUCUACUAUUCUUAGUAUGUUGUUAAUUGAAUCAGAACCUUGAUAUGAUGUUGUUGAGUGGUAUUGUGAAUUGUUGUGGAUGUCUCAAAUCUUUUUCUGAGCAUUUACAGCCGUUAUGCUGUCCAAUUUUCCCUAGAAAUUCUAAUGUCUUUGCAUUGUGGUUGUGCUUUCAGAUGGCCAACCGUGCUCAGAACCAAGUGGUUCGCCUGACCCGGUGCCUCGACGUGCCCGGUCAUACUACUAUGUUAGUCCGGGUAAUGAUCGAGACGGGUUACCGUUGGUAUCCCAAAUACACUGUCGAAGAGCAGUUCCACGACUUUAAUCAAAGCCAGUAUUUCUACACCGUCAGGAUAUUUCCUUCUUAUCCUGGAUCUACCGAGCCCCUUCACUGUUCCUAUGGACUCGGGGUUACUGUUGAGAUGGCUAUGCAGGAUGCUGCCUAUUCCAUGAUGACCAUCAUGCGAGUCCGGACUGGCCUGCUUCGGAACACCGACUUCCGUUACAUGCCAGCUUCACUUCCGGGAGCGCAAGGGUAUCUUCAGGCUAUCUAUGCUGACUCCACUCAGGAGGACUCAUUAACUCGUACCACUGCCGAGAUGCUUGAAGAUAAGGACCGAGAGAAUCGGGCCUUGAGGUUGGAGCUUUUCAAUACCCGUGCUGAUCAUUGGGCUACAUUGACUCGGUUUGCACCUGCGGUGCAAGCUGGAUGUAUGGAUACAAGGGAUCUGUAUCCUGUGAGAUCUGCUUUGCCAGACAUGGUGGAUUGGCGUGAUGUGGGAGGCAUCACCCCACCCCGUGGUCCCCGCAGGCCACCGUUUGUUGGUCCAAGACCUCAUCGUAGCCCCUAUGGUCCACAGGCUCCUCAGGACCGUCUGUUCCCGGAUGGUCAUGUUGAACUUCCAGGCUAUGGAGGUGACUUCUAUGAGGACUACUACGGAGCUGUCUGAGUUAGUAGUAGUACCACUAGUAUUGUAGUAGUUGUAUCUCCACUGUCCUGCGUGACUUGUGGAAUAUGACUUUGCGUGUAAUCGAUUCCGGAGGUGUAGACAAAUAAUGUAUAGGAGCUUGGAAUGCCUCCGAUGAGAUGUAACGUCUUUCAUCAUAGUUGUACUGUAGCCUGGGCUUGUACUAAACUAUGUAUGGUGUGUAUGACCGUUGGUAUAUAUAUGGCAGUUUUAUAUUACCAUGACAUACGGAUGAACAUCUCUGCAUUCCGUGUUAUCCAUUACAUUCUGCACUUCCUUGCUAAGUUUGAGCCAUCCUUGUCUAAACCGUUGUCUUGUUUUCUCCUAGGAUGGUCAACACCCGCAGCAACCCUGCUGCCUCGGAGCAGGGGGAAGCCAGUGCAGCUAGGGGUGAAAAUCUUCCUCACCCGCCUUCUCUGGCCGAAGUAAUGCUGGAGGCGGAAAGAAACAAGCGUUGAGACUAACCGCCUGCUGGAGCGGAUUGAGCAGAACAUUGCACGCCACCCGCGAAAUGACUUGGUGUCAAUUAAUGACUUUAUCAAGCUGUACCCACCAAAGUUUAACCAUUUCGUCGAACCCCUCGACGCGGAUGACUGGCUUCGCAGCAUCACCCACAAGCUACGUUCUGCCAACGUAGCCGAAGCCGACAAGGUUACUUAUGCUGCCUAUCACCUCGAAGGCCCUGCUAGCCUUUGGUGGGAACACUUCGAAGCUAUGCGCCCAGUCGGCCAAAUCACUACCUGGGCUGAAUUCAAUGAGGCUUUCCGUGAGCAUCACAUUCCGGAAGGUCUCAUGGAUCGCAAGAGGGAGGAGUUCUGCAACUUCACCCAAGGAAGACUGACUGUGGAUGCUUAUAGUCGUGAAUUUGGGAAUCUUGCACGCUAUGCUCCCGAAGAGGUAUCUACUGACGCUAAGAAGCAGGCAAGGUUCCGCAAGGGACUUAGCCCUGAGCUUCACCGCGAUCUUCGUCUGCAUGAGUGCACCUCCUUUCAGAAGUUGGUCAAUAAAGCCAUCAGUGCUGAGACAGGCCAGACUGAUUAUGACGCUUCACGCAAGCACUCCCGUGAUUUUGGCUCUUCAUCCGGCUCUGGAGCUCAGAAGCACCGGGUGUGGAUUCCAAGCACGGCACUGCCACCUAGGUUCAUCCCGAGGCCAUCCUUUGAGGUGCCUCGUCCCAACCAGCAAUUUGCACCGCCCAAGCCCUAUGGUGGCCCCGCUGCUAAUGCUGCUCCACGCCCCAAUGUGGUGACAUGCUUUAAGUGUGGAGAGCCAGGUCACUAUAGCCGAGAGUGUCCCCAGAACAACAACCCUGUUCAAACUGGAAAGUCCAUUGGGCGUGGUAAGCCUGCGGGAAAAACAUUCUACGCCAAGCCGGCCUCCACUGCACGUGGCCAUGUCAACUAUGUUUCAGCCGAGGAGGCUCAUGAGGAUCCCAACGUCGUCCUUGGUACACUCCUUGUUAACUGCCAUCCGGCAUCUGUUCUUUUUGAUACUGGGGCAUCUCAUUCAUUCAUAUCCGAGAACUAUGCUCGAUUGCAUAACACGACAUUCUGUGACAUGCCCUCUACCAUGGAAAUUCAAACCCCUGGCUCAAGAUGGCAAACUUCUAGAGUAAGCCAUGGGAACGAAAUUCUUGUCGAUAGACUUGUCUUCCUUGCAUCCUUAAUAGCUCUCAAGUCCUCGGACAUAAACAUCAUCUUGGCUAUGGACUGGAUGUCAGCUCAUUAUGCUAAGAUCGAUUGUGCCACUAGAACCGUUCAACUUACUCACCCAUCGGGCAAGACAGUCAAUGUCUUAACUCGAGUGGCCAAGCGCCAACUUUACUCCCUAAAUGCCAACCCCCUUCCAGACCUUGAGGAUGUUCCGGUAGUCCGAGACUUUCCGGAUGUCUUUCCAGAAGAACUGCCAGGUGUUCCACCUGACAGGGAUGUCGAGUUUGUGAUAGACCUUGUUCCAGGAACCGUUCCAAUUUCUAGAAGACCCUACAAGAUGGCACCCUUAGAACUAGCUGAGCUUAAGAACCAACUCGAUGAGGCCUUGAAAAAGGGAUUCAUCCGUCCUAGCUCCUCUCCUUGGGCUUGCCCCGUCCUCUUUGUCAAGAAGAAGGAUGGAACGGAUCGAAUGGUUGUGGAUUACCGACCCGUCAAUUUGGUCACCAUCAAGAACAAAUACCCGCUUCCCAGGAUCAACGAUCUGUAUGAUCAGCUCGCUGGAUCCUCAGUCUUUUCCAAGAUGGAUUUGAGGUUGGGCUACCAUCAAAUCAAAAUCAGAAACGGGGACAUUCCCAAAAUGGCCUUUGUUACUCGUUAUGGCCAAUACGAGUACACCGUUAUGUCCUUCGGUUUAACCAAUGCCCCAGCCACCUUCUCUCGGUUAAUGAACUCGGUCUUCAUGGAGUAUUUGGAUAAAUUCGUCGUAGUAUACCUCAAUGACAUACUCAUCUACUCCAAGAAUGAAGAGGAACAUGCCGAACAUCUAAGGCUGGUAUUGAUGAAACUUUGAGAGCAUCGCCUUUAUGCCAAAUUCUCCAAGUGUGAAUUUUGGUUGCCAUAAGUGACCUAUCUAGGCCAUGUAAUUUCUGGUAAGGGUAUUGCUGUCAAUCCCGAGCGAGUUCAAGCCGUCCUUGAUUGGACUCCACCUGAGAUGGUUAAGCAAGUUCGGAGCUUCCUUGGCUUAGCGAGCUAUUGCCGCCGCUUUGUCGAAAAUUUCUCCAAGGUUGCUAAACCUCUAACUGAACUCCUCAAGAAAGAUAAAAAGUUCGAGUGGACUCCACAGUGCGAGUUCAGUUUUCAGGAACUGAAAAGAUGCAUGACAUCUGCUCCCAUACUGGUACCACCAGAUUUCUCCAAGGACUUUAUUAUCUAUUGCGACGCCUCGCGACAAGGAAUAGGUUGCAUACUCAUGCAAGAUCGUCAGGUAAUUGCCUAUGCUUCAUGGCAAUUACACCCACAUGAGGAAAAUUAUCCCACACAUGAUCUAGAGCUUGCAGCUGUAGUCCAUGCACUUAAAACUUGGCGACAUUGCCUCCUCGGUAAUCGUUGCGAGAUCUUCACUGAUCACCAAAGUUUGAAAUAUAUCUUCACCCAACCAGAUUUGAAUCUCAGGCAAAGACGUUGGGUCGAGUUGAUCUCGGAUUACGACUUAGGAAUAACUUACACCCCGGGCAAAGCCAAUGUCAUGGCUGAUGCGCUAAGCCGUAAGUCCUAUUGUAACAACCUGAUGUUACAACAAAGUCAACCACUUCUCCAUGAGGAAUUUCGUAAGCUAAAUCUUCACAUUGUUCCUCGAGGAUUCCUAUCCACCCUGGUGGCGAAACCUACCCUUACAGAUCAGAUCAUCAAGGCACAGAAGGUAGAUCCGGGAAUUUCCCGUAUUAAGAGAAACAUUAAGAAAGGAGUCGUGAAUUGUUUCUCCAUUGAUGAUCAAGGUGUCGUAUACUUUGGGAAUCGCCUAGUGGUUCCAAAGGCACGAAACCUGAGGCAGCUGAUCCUUAAGGAAGCUCAUGAAUCCCCUCUCACCAUUCAUCCCGGUAGUACCAAAAUGUAUCAAGACCUACGCCAGAGGUUUUGGUGGACUAGGAUGAAGAGAGAAAUCGCUCAAUACAUUGCUAAUUGCGAUGUUUGUCGUCGUGUUAAAGCAGAGCAUCAACGGCCUGCUGGCACCCUUCAACCUUUGGCUAUCCCUGAAUGGAAAUGGGAUAAAAUCAGUAUGGAUUUCAUCACUGGGUUUCCCAGAACCAAGAGAGGGAAUAAUGCCAUCUUCAUCGUGAUCGACCGACUUUCCAAAGUAGCCCAUUUCCUACCUGUUCGUGAGAGUAUCACCGCUAGCCAGCUAGCCGAAUUAUACAUCUCCCGAAUAGUGUCUCUCCAUGGUGUCCCAUUGGAAAUUAACUCAGACCGUGGGAGUCUCUUCACCUCUCGAUUUUGGGAAAGUUUCCAAAAUGCUAUGGGAACUCGUCUCUCUUUUAGCACCGCCUUCCAUACUCAAUCAAGUGGUCAAGUAGAGCGAGUCAAUCAAAUUCUGGAAGAUAUGCUCCGAGCUUCUGUUAUCUCGUUCGGAAUGAGUUGGGAGAAAUGCCUUCCAUUCGAGGAGUUUGCUUAUAACAAUAGUUAUCAAUCUAGCUUGGGCAAAGCUCCUUUCGAAGUUCUCUAUGGACGAAAAUGUCGAACGCCUCUUAACUGGUCAGAAACUGGGGAAAGACAACUCUUUGGCCCGGAUAUGAUUCAGGAAGCAAAAGAGCAGGUUCACGUUAUUCGUGAGAAAUUGAAAAUAGCCCAAUCUCGUCAAAAGAGUCAAUAUGAUCGUAAACAUAAGUCUAUGACUUAUGAAGUCGACGAGAAGGCUUACCUUCGGGUUACCCCGUUAAAAGGAACCCAUCGUUUUGGUAUCAAAGAAAAAUUGGCUCCUCGUUACAUUGGACCCUUUCGCAUUCUUGCCAAACGAGGAGAAGUUGCCUACCAAUUGGAACUACCUCCGCAUCUUUCCAGAGUUCACGAUGUCUUCCACGUUUCUCAACUCAGGCAUUGCUUCGCGGAUCCUAUCCGUGGAGUGGACCACGAAAAGCAUGAUCUACAAGAUAACCUCUCCUAUCGCUAAUAUCCCGUUCAUAUCCUUGAUCAAGCUGAGCGUACCACUCGACGUCAUAAUAUCAAGUUUCUCAAGGUUCAAUGGUCACACCACUCCGAGAAAGAAGCCACUUGGGAAAGGGAGGAUCGUCUUCGACUCGAGUACCCCACCUUCUUUACAGAGGAUCCUAAAUCUCGGGACGAGAUUCUUUUGAGUGGGGGUGAGUUGUCACACCCUAGCUAGUUCAAGCAUUAGAAUGUGCAUCAUGUUUAAAUUCCUCUUAAAUUUGAAUUGGGGAAGGCAGAAACCCCCAACACCCCCCUGGAAACAACUAGGGUUUACUAAAAUUAUUUUCAAUGAACCUGAAAUGCCAUUCUAAAAAGUUCACCCUCUUUGUCUUGGGUUAGAACCUCUGGCAAAAUUGGUGCACAUUUUUCUAGGUCAACAGAAGGUCACUGAAUUAAAUCAUAUGUAAUUUGCUUUUGGACAUUUAAAUGCUAGUAAAUAUUUUAAAUGUUCAAAUAAUUCUGGAUUUAAGUGAGGGCUGUUAGGAAUAAUCCCAACAGAGCCCACAAUUAUUUUCAGGAUUUUAGUAAGUGCCUAAGUAUUUUUAAUAAAGCCCUAAAGCUAUAGAAAAAUAGAAAAAGAAAACAAAACA
rnacentral:lncRNA from 1 species